rnacentral:rRNA from 1 species
CCUACGGGGGGCUGCAGUGGGGAAUAUUGCACAAUGGGCGCAAGCCUGAUGCAGCCAUGCCGCGUGUGUGAAGAAGGCCUUCGGGUUGUAAAGCACUUUCAGCGGGGAGGAAGGCGUUAAGGUUAAUAACCUUGUCGAUUGACGUUACCCGCAGAAGAAGCACCGGCUAACUCCGUGCCAGCAGCCGCGGUAAUACGGAGGGUGCAAGCGUUAAUCGGAAUUACUGGGCGUAAAGCGCACGCAGGCGGUCUGUCAAGUCGGAUGUGAAAUCCCCGGGCUCAACCUGGGAACUGCAUUCGAAACUGGCAGGCUAGAGUCUUGUAGAGGGGGGUAGAAUUCCAGGUGUAGCGGUGAAAUGCGUAGAGAUCUGGAGGAAUACCGGUGGCGAAGGCGGCCCCCUGGACAAAGACUGGCGCUCAGGUGCGAAAGCGUGGGGAGCAAACAGGAUUAGAUACCCGAGUAGUC